CCAGCCCUCGGCCUGCACGCGCGGAGACACAGGAGAGGAGCUUCCCCGGUCGCCCAGGCCGGCGUGAGCAUGGCUCGCAUUGGCACUGCAACUAAUCACGUAGAGUAAGGGUAAAAAAAACACGACUCUGCCGAAGCCCGGGCAGCAGCAGGCUCCGGUGCUCCUCCUCGCUUCUAUGACACCUCCCCCUCUGCGCCGCCUUCACCCACCGUCGUCGCCACCUCUCUCGCUGCGGAACAAGACGCUGAGGAAGAAGAGCCGGUACGGAGAUGGCAAGAAGACGCAGAGCAGUACGUACGUCUGCGAUCUGCUUCUAUCUCAGAUGUAAAAUGUGACGACCCAAAAGAGGAGGACAAGGUAUAGCAAACCAAAAGGCUCGAAUCAAAAAGAUAACUCAAGCAGACGAGGAUGUUGGAAAAUAUGCACUAGUGGUGCCUGUUUUAGUCUGUUAGUUCUGCAAGAAUCAUUGUGCCUUCGUAUUAUUAUGUACAUAUAUUUUUUCCACAAUAAUCUAAGUA